GACGAACGCUGGCGGCGUGCUUAACACAUGCAAGUCGAACGGAAAGGCCCUGCUUUUGUGGGGUGCUCGAGUGGCGAAGGGGUGAGUAACACGUGAGUAACCUGCCCUGGACUUUGGGAUAACUUCAGGAAACUGGGGCUAAUACCGGAUAGGAGCUCCUGCUGCAUGGUGGGGGUUGGAAAGUUUCGGCGGUUGGGGAUGGACUCGCGGCUUAUCAGCUUGUUGGUGGGGUAGUGGCUUACCAAGGCUUUGACGGGUAGCCGGCCUGAGAGGGUGACCGGCCACAUUGGGACUGAGAUACGGCCCAGACUCCUACGGGAGGCAGCAGUGGGGAAUAUUGCACAAUGGGCGGAAGCCUGAUGCAGCAACGCCGCGUGCGGGAUGACGGCCUUCGGGUUGUAAACCGCUUUCGCCUGUGACGAAGCGUGAGUGACGGUAAUGGGUAAAGAAGCACCGGCUAACUACGUG
rnacentral:rRNA from 1 species